AGAUUGAACGCUGGCGGCAGGCCUAACACAUGCAAGUCGAGCGGUAGAGAGGUGCUUGCACCUCUUGAGAGCGGCGGACGGGUGAGUAAUGCCUAGGAAUCUGCCUAGUGGUGGGGGAUAACGUUCGGAAACGGACGCUAAUACCGCAUACGUCCUACGGGAGAAAGCGGGGGACCUUCGGGCCUCGCGCCAUUAGAUGAGCCUAGGUCGGAUUAGCUAGUUGGUGAGGUAAUGGCUCACCAAGGCGACGAUCCGUAACUGGUCUGAGAGGAUGAUCAGUCACACUGGAACUGAGACACGGUCCAGACUCCUACGGGAGCAGCAGUGGGGAAUA
rnacentral:rRNA from 1 species